CAAUGACAGUAUACGGAAGUGCUGUGACAUGUUGUUGUCAACGCUCAUGUAUGUAGCUGCUGCUGUAAGGCUGCAAUGUUGUUGAGCUGCUGUAGGUUGUUCGUUGCAGUGGCCUUGGUUGCUAUGAUGUUGACACCCGUGCUAUCACCCGUAGAUUGAGGGAAGAUGGGAGUCUUAUUGGUGUGCUGAGCACAUAAGAAACAAAAUCAGACAACCAACGACUCUUAGAAAUGGCUCGUUCUAGGACAUUGUCGGUGUUGAUUUGAUAAGUGGUGUUUCUUGCCAAGCUCCUUAAAUGGGUCAACAAAACUGACGUUGAAUGGGAAUUUAAUACAAACGGCAGAACUGGGUAAACUUUUAAGGU